rnacentral:misc_RNA from 1 species
CACGCGCCAUUCGCGCAGAGCUCCAAAAUCGCGCGCCGAACUGGGAGCCGACGCGAGUGCGGCAAGUGAGAUAAGGGGGCGCGUCAGAACACUCAACGGCGGUGAUCUGGGCGAGCGCGACACAGGAGACCAGAGAGAGAGGCGCGCUGACGAGGAAGCAGGAAGUCGUGUCGCCGGAGGAGCAGGGGAGAUGGGUGUCGUACAGGGGCAGGACGAGCGCGCCAGGGAGCUGCGCACGCGGCAAGCAGAGAGGGAGGAAGAUGGGCGCAUGGCCAUGGAAGCAGGGCGCGAGCUAGGAGACGGACGCCGAGUAGGGAGCUUGGCUGGGACGCGACUCCCAUGGGCGGGCUGGCCGAGCACCGGGAGAUGGGGCGCGCGCACCAGGGGGAGCAAGGCGCAGGAACGCUCGGCCGGACGCGGCAAGCAGAGAGAAAACGGGAGGAAGGAAGAGGAGCAGGGCGCGCGGCGCAGGCAGCCAUGGGAGGAGCGAGCUGAGGGAGCUCGGCGCACAGAACUUGAACCAGGACGAUGAUGCAUGGGAGCUCCAGGGCGCAGCGAGCUGGGGCCCUGAGCACCGAGCUGGAACAGGCGCGCGUCAGAGAGAGAUCAGAGGGAGCAGGUGAGAGGCACCGAGUUGCAGGAGGGAGUAGCGGCAGUCGCGCAGGGAGCUCGGGUGAGCCAGGACCGGACGCCGAGCAGGGGAAAACGCCAUGGGCGAACGCAGCAUGGGGUCAGGCCAAGGAACUCCGGCCGGACGCCAUGGGAGGGGCAGAGUUCAGGGAGGAGCUGGAGGGAAAGCUCUGCGGCCCUGGCGAGCAAAAGCGCGCGGCUAGAGAAGGGAGGAGCAGAGGAGCACACCGCUGCAGGGAAGGAGAAGAUGACCAGGGAUAAGAAGCCUGCGCGCGUGGAAAAAUCAAGGAAUCGGCGGCGCGAUUUUUCUUCCACGAGCGGCGGCCGGAUGAAGACGAGGGAACGACGGCCAGGAGAUAAGCAAGGCACUAAGAAAAAUCUGGAGGAAAAGAGAUAGCAACGGGAAGGGGAAAAAUCUCCAUGAGAUGAAGAUGAAGGCUGCACGGUGACUAAAAAGUCCCUAGGCGGCUGAGAUAUUUUUCUCUUUCUUUUUCUCUCAUCAUUUUCAUUUUUUACAGGAAAAUCGUAGAUAUUUUAGAUCCCGAUUUGGAGUCAUAGAUAUUUCAAAUGGUUGGAUUUUUAGCGAUGCAUAAUGAGUUGACGGUAUCUGUGAUACGGUUCGAUUUAAUCGAAACCAAAUAGGAUUCAUCUGAAUCUUGUUUAUUUUGGCGAAACAAAUUUCAGACAUCCGGG